GAAUCCUUAGGAUUUUCUACAUAAAGAAUCACGUCUUUGCAAAUAAAGACAAUUUUACAACCUCUUUCUCAAUCUGGAUGCCUCCAAUUUUAUUCAUCUAUUAUGUAUCUUGACCUCAAGAUGCCAUUUUUAAGUUUCAAGAGACAGCUGGAGAGAUCAGACCCCCUCCACUGGGUCCCCAUCAGACACAGUGGAAAAGAGGAAACGAGAUGGCAGGGAUCUAAAGAUUUCUCUCAGGGCCCUACUGGACACAUGGCCAGGGCUCACAUGACUGAACGCUGGAAGAUGAGCAAUUCAAGGCUGGAAGGUUAAGAAACUUGCAUAAGGUCACUCGGCUGGGUACAAAGUCCUGGAAAGUGCCCUGCUCAGAAGAACAGAUCUGGAGAGACCAGAGACAAUUGUCAAACUUAGAGUAGAGAACUAGGGCACAGAGCUGACAAGAUAAGAAUGAGCUAAAAUGGUGGGAUUGAAGGACAAAGCUGGGAAUAUGGCUUGCUUUUAUGGGCUGGAAGGAGCAAGAUAUAUGCAACUCAGCUGCUCUUAUGGAAUCCAGAUUUGGAUGGGAAGUUGGCUGCAGAAUUCUCAAGAGAUGGUAAGUGACUUUCGCAGGAUCAUGUGGCCCAUUAGCAGUCCAAAUCCAUCAAGUACAUCAUAACUUAGGGAAAAGUCUCCUUGAAAUUAAUGUGAUCAUGUUAAAGAGUUCUAGCACUAAAAGGACCUAACUUUGCUAAUAAAGAAAAAUAAUUUUUGUGAACCUCAUGAAGCCAAGUAAUUGAGACCUUGCUCUAUUUAGAGUAUAAAUUCAAGUAUGAGUCCCUAAACAAUUUUGAAAUCCAGAGCAUCAAAAUCAGUAUUUAUGACUCUUUUCCUUGAAUUUUUGGUCUGUGCUUAUAUUACCUGUUUUAUUAGACUUGGAACAGAAGAUCAGGAAGAGAUGCUGAAAGAAACAUCCUCCUGGUGGCCCAAACUGGAAGAAAAAGUAGAGGCAAAACUACCCUUAAUCACUGCCAAACUGUCAUUCAGUUCCUACAAUCAAAACAUGAAACAACUGAGUCAGGGAACAAACUGAAUUCUGUAUACCCUCUACACAAUCAACAAUUAAAAUUGCAGUU